rnacentral:lncRNA from 1 species
UCUUGUUUGUGGUUGUUGCAUCAUGCACUCAUGGCAUUCAUAAGAUUUUUUUUAUCAAUUUUCAAGGAACUUAGAGACUCUUGUUGCAAACAUCGUAGAUAUUUUGAUCAUGGAUAUUGAAUGGAGGAAUACUCGAAAAUACAGUUUUAGAUGUCCCGAUCUUAUGUAAUUAAGGAAUCUAGCAUCUUUUGUGGAUGAUCCUAAAAGUUUCAGAGACCGUUUUGGAAGAUUUC